UUUGCUUACGGGGCGCAGCAGUGAGGAAUAUUGGUCAAUGGCCGGAAUGCUGAACCAGCCAUGCCGCGUGAAGGUCAGUGCCCUAUGGGCGUUAAACUUCUUUUGUGCGGGAGCAAUAAUGGUCACGUGUGGCCAGACGAGAGUACCGUACGAAUAAGCAUCGGCUAACUCCGUGCCAGCAGCCGCGGUAAUACGGGGGAUGCAAGCGUUAUCCGGAUUUAUUGGUUUUAAAGGGUGCGUAGGCUGUGAGGUACGUCAGCGGUGAAAUGCCCCCGCUCAACGGGGCGAAGUGCCAUUGAUACUGC
rnacentral:rRNA from 1 species